rnacentral:rRNA from 2 species
GGACUACCAGGGUAUCUAAUCCUGUUUGCUCCCCACGCUUUCGUGCAUGAGCGUCAGUGCUGGCCCAGGAGGCUGCCUUCGCCAUCGGUGUUCCUCCACAUCUCUACGCAUUUCACUGCUACACGUGGAAUUCCACCUCCCUCUGCCGCACUCCAAGCUAUCCAGUCUCAAGCGCAAUUCCUAGGUUAAGCCCAGGGAUUUCACACCUGACUUAAAUAACCGCCUGCGCACGCUUUACGCCCAGUAAUUCCGAUUAACGCUCGCACCCUACGUAUUACCGCGGCUGCUGGCAC